GGGCUGAGGGUGAGGGACGGGUGGUCCCCCAAGGGAAGCUAAAGAACUGUUAGCAGAAACAGGGAAAAUAGCUGGCUGAUGGGCCACUAAAACCCCCAAAUAUUGGCCACAUAACUUCUGCCAUGUGCGAGGGGUAGGGGGUAAGUGUAAUGAAAGGGUCAAGGCUUGGGGUCUGGGGUUAGACCACCUAGACUCAAAUCCUGGCUCCAUCUUACAAGCUGUGUGACCUUGAACAAGUUUCUUAGCCUUGCUGUGCCUCAGUUUCCCUCCUCUGUAAAAUAGGGGAGAGAACAAUACCUACCCUACAUGGUUACUUUGAAUAUUAAGUGAAUUAAUAUGCAUGACCACCGCGCCCAGCCUUCCCCAUCAUUUUAUAGUUGCUGUAACCUGCCCAGAGAGGUUAAGUAACAUCUCUGAAGUCACACAGUUGGUGAGUGGCAGAGCUAGCAGUCUGGGCCAGGCCCACCCCGCAUCACUCUAUUGCCUCAUCAGAAAGGGUGAUCGUCAUCUUCCCUCCCU
rnacentral:lncRNA from 1 species